CGUGGGGUUGAGCAGCAGGUGGCUGACGCUGGAUUCCAGCUCCAGCAGGCUGGGCAGGUAGGUGUAGCGGUUGAUUUCGCUCUCCACGGC
rnacentral:tRNA from 1 species